rnacentral:rRNA from 1 species
GACGAACGCUGGCGGCGCGCCUAACACAUGCAAGUCGAACGAGCGAGAGAGAGCUUGCUUUCUCAAGCGAGUGGCGAACGGGCGAGUAACGCGUGAGGAACCUGCCUCAAAGAGGGGGACAACAGUUGGAAACGACUGCUAAUACCGCAUAAGCCCACGACCCGGCAUCGGGUAGAGGGAAAAGGAGCAAUCCGCUUUGAGAUGGCCUCGCGUCCGAUUAGCUAGUUGGUGAGGUAACGGCCCACCAAGGCGACGAUCGGUAGCCGGACUGAGAGGUUGAACGGCCACAUUGGGACUGAGACACGGCCCAGACUCCUACGGGAGGCAGCAGUGGGGAAUAUUGCACAAUGGGGGAAACCCUGAUGCAGCGACGCCGCGUGGAGGAAGAAGGUCUUGGGAUUGUAAACUCCUGUUGUUGAGGAAGAUAAUGACGGUACUCAACAAGGAAGUGACGGCUAACUACGUG